rnacentral:rRNA from 1 species
UGAGCAACCUGCCCUUGACCCUGGAAUAACAGCUGGAAACAGCUGCUAAUACCGGAUAUGACCUCCGAUGGCAUCAUCUGGAGGUGGAAAGCUCCGGCGGAGAAGGAUGAGCUCGCGGCCUAUCAGCUAGUUGGUGUGGGUAAUGGCCCACCAAGGCGACGACGGGUAGCCGGCCUGAGAGGGUGACCCGGCCACACGUGGGACUGAGACACCGGCCCAGACCUNUACGGGACGG